UACGUAGGGGCCGAGCGUUGUCCGGAGUUAUUGGGCGUAAAGCGCGCGCAGGCGGCCUCGCGCGCCCGACGUGAAAGCCCCCGGCUUAACCGGGGAGGGUCGUUGGGGACGGCGGGGCUUGAGGGCGGGAGAGGGUGGUGGAAUUCCCGGUGUAGUGGUGAAAUGCGUAGAUAUCGGGAGGAACACCAGUGGCGAAGGCGACUUCCUGGCCUGUUCUUGACGCUGAGGCGCGAAAGCUAGGGUAGCAAACGGG
rnacentral:rRNA from 1 species